GACGAACGCUGGCGGCGUGCCUAAUACAUGCAAGUAGAACGCACAGUUUAUACCGUAGCUUGCUACACCAUAGACUGUGAGUUGCGAACGGGUGAGUAACGCGUAGGUAACCUGCCUGGUAGCGGGGGAUAACUAUUGGAAACGAUAGCUAAUACCGCAUAAUAUUAAUUAUUGCAUGAUAAUUAAUUGAAAGGUGCAAUUGCACCACUACCAGAUGGACCUGCGUUGUAUUAGCUAGUAGGUGAGGUAACGGCUCACCUAGGCGACGAUACAUAGCCGACCUGAGAGGGUGAUCGGCCACACUGGGACUGAGACACGGCCCAGACUCCUACGGGAGGCAGCAGUAGGGAAUCUUCGGCAAUGGACGAAAGUCCGACCGAGCAACGCCGCGUGAGUGAAGAAGGGUUUCGGAUCGUAAAGCUCGGUUGUAAGAGAAGAACGGGUGUGAGAGUGGAAAGUUCACACUGUGACGGUAUCUUACCAGAAAGGGACGGCUAACUACGUG
rnacentral:rRNA from 1 species